rnacentral:piRNA from 1 species
GAACAGUUCUAAUGUCAGAAAAGAAGAAG